rnacentral:rRNA from 1 species
AUACGGAGGAUCCGAGCGUUAUCCGGAUUUAUUGGGUUUAAAGGGUGCGCAGGCGGCCAUUUAAGUCAGCGGUUAAAUCGUGGGGCUCAACCCCAUUCUGCCGUUGAUACUGGGUGGCUUGAUUGCGGUCGAGGUUGGCGGAAUUGUUGUGUAGCGGUGAAAUGCAUAGAUAUGACGAAGAACACCGAUUGCGUAGGCAGCUGACCAGACCGCAAAUGACGCUCAUGCACGAAAGUGCGGGGAUCGAACAGGAUUAGAUACCCUGGUAGUCCGCACAGUAAACGAUGAAUACUUGUUUUCGGCGAUAUAAUGUCGGAGGCAAAGCGAAAGCGAUAAGUAUUCCACCUGGGGAGUACGCCGGCAACGGUGAAACUCAAAUGAAUUGACGGGG